CGGCGAGCGAAAGGGAGGAGCCCAGCGCCGAAUCCCCKGCCUGCGGUCGUGGGAAAUGUGGCGUUUAGGAGUGAGCGUGCCGGGUUCGACGGCGGCGGCAAGUCCCCCUGACCGGGGCCUGUCCGUAGCGGGUGCGAGGCCCAUAGCCGCCGCCUUCGUCUCGGAUGCGAUCUCCUUGGAGUCGGGUUGCUUGGGAGUGCAGCCCUAAUCGGGUGGUAAACUCCACCUAAGGCUAAAUACCGCCGUGAGACCGAUAGCAAACAAGUACCGUGAGGGAAAGUUGCAAAGAACUUUGAAGAGAGAGUUCAAGAGUACGUGAAACUGCUCAGAGGUAAACGGGUGGGCCCUCGAAAUCCUGUGGCGAGAGGAUUCAGUCUGGCUGGGCGGACGUGCCUUCGGAAGACCGAGCAGGGCUUCCCGUGAAUCGGGGCCGUCCGGUGGCGUGUCUUCCGCCUUUCCAGACGCAUUUGUCUCUCGUCCGAAGGACGCUGCAGCCGGUCUGGCAGUGCAAGCGCGACGGCCUGAAGGUCGGGAACCGGCAGGUGGCCGGCGGCUCGCCUCGUGCGGGCUGUCGGUUGUUAGCCGUCUCGUCAGUGGCCCGUCGCCAGACCGAGGUGUCGCGAGUCCCGUCUGGGACUCCUCGUCUCCACCCCCGCCGUUGCGGGACAGGACGUGGCAAGGGAACCGUGCAGCGUCCGUCGCACUCUUACGGAGUGGGCGGAAGCGUACGGGACCCCGUUGGCUGCGACGGACCCGUGGGGGACUGGAGGCUGGCAGC
rnacentral:rRNA from 1 species